UACGGAGGGUGCAAGCGUUAAUCGGAAUUACUGGGCGUAAAGGGUGCGUAGGUGGUUUGAUAAGUUAGCUGUGAAAUUCCUGGGCUUAACCUAGGGUGGUCAGCUAAGACUGUUAGACUUUGAGUAUAGGAGAGGGUAGUGGAAUUUCCGGUGUAGCGGUGAAAUGCGUAGAGAUCGGAAGGAACACCAGUGGCGAAGGCGGCUACCUGGCCUAAUACUGACACUGAGGCACGAAAGCGUGGGGAGCAAACAGG
rnacentral:rRNA from 1 species